UGCACCCCGAACAGGGACAGGUGCCCACGGAGUAGUUUUCUCCAUGGUCUCUGGCUCUGGGUGAGCAGCCUCCCUCCCCUCUUAGACAACGACCCGAAGCAGGAAUACUCAGUGGAACGCAGAAUUGAAGAUUGAAAGAAGUAGAGUCCUGAUGGCCGGCAUUUGCAGCCUGAAAAGAAACAUAUGUUCUCGAGAUUUUGGUCAAAUUACAGAUUAUUGAAUCUCUUCUGAGACAUGGAUCAGCCCAUCUGAAGCUUAGAUUGACACCACACCCACACCCUUGCAUGGAUUGAGCACCUUCGCCCAUUUCUCAGCCUGAAGCAGCUAAGAUCGAGACCAUCGCCAGUGCUCCUGAUGUAAUUUGGACUGAUAUGGGGGAAGUGGGAAAGUGGUUGAUGAAUUAUUGUUAAAAUUACAAUUCUAUUACUAGAGUUAGAAAAAAAUGCAAACAUUACUGUGUGUUUAAGAUUUGGGAUGGAAAUUAUUAAAAAUGGUAACUAUUGCUGUUAAGGAAGCUAUAAAAUGUUUAUAAUAUCUAUGUUCACUUCAGAAUAUGUAAUUGUUUAAGGUAUUUGAUUUGAUUUGAUUUGAUUGAUUUUAGGAAACUCCUCCUGUACUAGACUGUUAUGUAUGUAGGAACUUUAAUUGACUCUUGGGAUUUAUAUGUGGAUGGUUAUUUGACUAUUUAUUAUUAUUUUUUUUUUGGAUGAUUCCUUUCCAUGAGGAAAAAAAAAGGAGAGGAAGAGAUAGGGAACUAGGGAAACUGGUGGAUUUUUCUCAAAAUACCUAAAAGAGUGGGAACCCUUAGUUUUCUUUCACUUUUGCCUUUCGUACUUCUGCCCCAUCCCCUAUACCACCAGUUCAGAUUAAAUUGGAAGUCCUUAAGCAAUCUUUUUUGUUUUUACUAUGUUUUAGCUUUGAAACCCCUCAUUCUGUGGAAUUGCCCUGGCAGACUCAGUUUUGGGAACUAUUCUGUUUUAAAGAAGAUUAAGAUUAAGACACUUGUCUUGGGACUGGCAAUCUCCAGCCCUGUAACCCCAGUU